GUCUGAAUUCAGAGGCAGGAGAGAUUUUCUGCAGCUCAGGAGCCAGAGCCAGCUUGUCUGAGGAGGAAAUAAUUUCCCAGGUUAUUAUUGCUGAUACUACCAGAGUUGUGACCUUCUUCUCCCGGAUGUAACUCUCAAUGGCGUCGUUGUUUGGAGCAAACACCGUAGAUACUGCACAGGAGGAUAAAUAACAAAAGGAGAAGAGAUUCAGCAUGUGUGGGAGGAGGCGAUUUCGUACCUUGUUGAUGAUGUGUAUCACUCCAUUUGUGGCUGCGUUGUCACCAUCAAUGACGCACGCUCCUUCGAUUGUGAUAUUCUGUAAACGCACCACAGUGAGAAGUGCUGGGGGCUUCCCUGGUGGCACAGUGGUUAAGAACCUUCCUGCCAAUGCAGGGGACAUGGGUUCAAUCCCUGGUCCGGGAAGAUCCCACAUGCCGCGGAGCAACUAAGCCCAUGCACCACAACUACUGAGCCUGUGCUCUAGAGCCCACUAGCCACAACUACUGAGCCUGCGUGCCACAACUGCUGAAGCCCAUGCACCCCAACUACUGAAGCCGUGCCGCCUAGAGCCUGUACUCUGCAACAAGGGAAGUCCCCACUCGCUGCAACUAGAGAAAGCCCGUGCGCCGCAAAGAAGAACCAACGUUGCCAAAAAAAAAAAGUGCUGGCUGAGGCUUACUAAAGUGACCCUGCAGUUGGAAAAACACCGCAGAUAGUGUUGUGGGUUGAAUUGUGUCUCCAAAAUUCGUAUGUUGGAGUCCUAACCACCAGUGCCUCAGAAUGUGACCUUAUUUGGAGACAGGGUCUUUACAGAAGUAAUCAAGUUAAAAUGAGGUCAUUAGGGUGGGGCCUAAUCCAACAUGACCGGUGUCCCUAUAAGAAGAGGAUAUUUGGGCACAGACAGCUAUGUGGGGAGAAGACCAUGUGAACAUGAGGACGGUCAUCUACAAGCCAAGGAGAGAGCCUGACGUCAGUCCUCAGAGAGAACCAACCCUGCCCACACCUUGACCUUGGACUUCGAGCCUCCAGAACUCUGAGACAAAAAUUUCUGUUGUUUAAGCCACCCAGUCUGUGGUUCUUUGUUAUAGUAGGCCUAGCAAACUAAUACAGAUAGUUACUGACUUUUCAAGAAUAUUAAUUACACGGGGAAAGGAGCUAAGUAAACCCAAAUGCCCGCUCACGCAGCCACCGACCAAGCAUGACACAUCCGGGCUCUGCCCUCUCUGGUUUCCUCUCCUCUUCUCCCACCACUGCCCUUUGUCUGAAAUUCCUCCUGGGAACCCUGGGUGCAGAGGGGACUUGCCUCACCCUGAGCACAUCAGCAGAGGUCCUGAAACAAACAUUCCUGGCUACCUUGCACAUCUCUUCUGGUUACAGGGAGACAUUUACAUCCGGCAUAAGAAAGAACCCAUUACAACUGUGUCUUUGAUGGUUAGCUCCUGCAGCUCACAGGUCUUGAAUGAUUUACCUCUGAAUCUACGGAACCUGGGAUGAACCUCCCCAGGGUGGGUGUUCAAUUAAUGCUUGCUCAGAGCAUCAGUGAUUUAAAACACCAAUGGAAAACCACCCAUUGUCUGAUAUAUGCAUGUAAUGUUCUAGAAUUAUUGUAAU